rnacentral:rRNA from 1 species
GAUGAACGCUGGCGGCGUGCCUAAUACAUGCAAGUCGAGCGAACAGACGAGGAGCUUGCUCCUCUGACGUUAGCGGCGGACGGGUGAGUAACACGUGGAUAGCCUACCUAUAAGACUGGGAUAACUUCGGGAAACCGGAGCUAAUACCGGAUAAUAUAUUGAACCGCAUGGUUCAAUAGUGAAAGACGGUUUUGCUGUCACUUAUAGAUGGAUCCGCGCCGCAUUAGCUAGUUGGUAAGGUAACGGCUUACCAAGGCAACGAUGCGUAGCCGACCUGAGAGGGUGAUCGGCCACACUGGAACUGAGACACGGUCCAGGCUACUACGGGAGGCAGCAGUAGGGAAUCUUCCGCAGUGGGCGAAAGCCUGACGGAGCAACGCCGCGUGAGUGAUGAAGGUCUUCGGAUCGUAAAACUCUGUUAUGAGGGAAGAACAAAUGUGUAAGUAACUAUGCACGUCUUGACGGUACCUAAUCAGAAAGCCACGGCUAACUACGUG